UACAGAGGUCCCAAGCGUUGUUCGGAUUCAUUGGGCGUAAAGGGUGCGUAGGCGGCGCGGUAAGUCGGGUGUGAAAUCCCCGGGCUCAACCUGGGAAUUGCAGUCGAGACUGCUCGGCUAGAGUGUGGGAGAGGGUGGUGGAAUUCCCGGUGUAGCGGUGAAAUGCGUAGAUAUCGGGAGGAACAUCAGUGGCGAAGGCGACCACCUGGCCCAACACUGACGCUGAGGUGCGAAAGCGUGGGUAGCAAACAGG
rnacentral:rRNA from 1 species